ensembl:lincRNA Gm53 predicted gene 53
GGAAUCGGUAGCCUCCCGCCCAAGGUCUGCAGGCUUUCUUCCGUUCUUGGGCUCUUUGGGCCUCGCCCCUCCCUCUCACAUUCCCAACUCCCAAGGACAACUUGUCGCUGGCUUCAGACGCCCGCCCUGCCUGAGUUUUCCUUGUGUCCCGGACUCUGCUGUUUUCUUUUGUCUAAUUUGUCCAUUUCUGCACUUGGCAAUUUCUUGGGAACUAACUUGAAUCUACUUCUCCCUUGUCUGUAAUAGUCUCUUCUCUCUCUCUCUCUCUCUCUCUCUCUCUCUCUCUCUCNNNNNNNNNNNNNNNNNNNNNNNNNNNNNNNNNNNNAGCUACCUACUGAUCCGACGGCGCCCAAGCCGGUAUAGGCUGGUAAGACUGCUCCCGGGAAGGAGGCUCCGGGAUGAUCCACGCGGCCGCGCCCCGCACCCACCGGCGGCGCCACGGAGACGCAGAGUUCUCCAGAUCCUCCAAGCGCCGUCGGCGCCACCACUCCAGACACUGUUCACGAGGCCUCAAAGCGUGGAGGCGGUGGCCCGGGGCCGACUCUCGGGUGACCGCCAAUUUGGUCCCAAGACACUUCAGGAUCUCGCAACGGAUGGAGGACAGCGCGGUUCCAAGAGAGGGCGCCAAAGGCGACGCGCUGGCGGCCAGCUCCAAGCCAACCAGGCCCAUUGCGUCCGUCUGCAGGAACCUGUCUCUUCACCCUGCUUUGGACACUGAGCUUCGGAGGAUCUGGCUGCGAGCUGAUUCAACGCCAGGGCGCCGCCUAGAGGACAAGAGGGGAUAUAAACUGUUUGAAGUUCAUCAGCACGGUGAAGUUUUAUUGUAUUUCCGGUCCCUAAAAGAGAAGCCGGCAGCCAGGCAGACUCCCUCCUUAUCUCCGAGUUUCCAUGCCAGGGACACACACGUGGCCAAGCGGACACUUGCCUUCGGGAGCAGGGAGGGAGGGAGCCGGCUCCGAUCCACUCUCCCUCACCGGCUCAGGUAAGUCUAAGAGGCCUCUGAUAGUUGUGGCAUCAACUGAGCCACAACCUGUGAGGAUGUGCGAAGUGACUUUGUAGGGAUGGAAGAGAGCGGGAGACA